UACGUAGGGUCCGAGCGUUUGUCCGGAAUUACUGGGCGUAAAGAGCUCGUAGGUGGUUUGUCGCGUUGUUCGUGAAAACUCACAGCUCAACUGUGGGCGUGCGGGCGAUACGGGCAGACUGGAGUACUGCAGGGGAGACUGGAAUUCCUGGUGUAGCGGUGGAAUGCGCAGAUAUCAGGAGGAACACCGGUGGCGAAGGCGGGUCUCUGGGCAGUAACUGACGCUGGAGGAGCGAAAGCGUGGGGAGCGAACAGG
rnacentral:rRNA from 1 species